AUUUAAGAAAUAAUAUUAAUCAUUGAAAUAUGAAUUAGGCGAAGGCGGAGGAACCAUUCAAGCGGUAUCAACAGAAAGAAACUAAUCAUUAAGAGCGUCGCAAGAAGCAAUGAAGGAAAGGGGAAGCAAAAACGAAAAAAUCAAUGUGGCAUUGUUCGCCGGCGUAAUGUGCUAUGAAAAGAAGAAAGGAACUAGGGGAAGAAUGGGAGUAAAAAUGUAGGAGAGAUGGUGAUAUACAGGAGCAAUGUUACGCGCGAUUAACUUCCUCUAAGAGACAACCGUGCCACGAACGACCUCCACCAAACAAUGUCAGCCAUGAUGAAGGAAGAAAAUGGAGAAGCAACGUCAACAAGGAAUUUUUAAAUCCUUGGUGAAUUUAUUAAUUCACGACCACCAAGUUUAUUAUUCAUUUGUCAUUUAUACAUUUUGCAAUUUCAAUCCAAAAAUUGUUUAUACGAUUUUAUUUCUUUCGAUUUCACUACAAUUCUAGGGUAAUAAAAUAAGCUUAGAAUUUAUAUUUCAAGAAAAUUAUUAAAAUCAGAAGUUGAAUAAUAAAAAAAAAUUUUUACAAAUAGUUAAAUUCACGCAUCGUCGCAUUACUCUUUAUUAAAUCCUAUAAAUUUCUAUGCUUGUUUCACUGGCAUCCAUUGAAAAUGAAAAGAAACGAGCCGCUUGCAUAAAAGGAUCAUCACAUAUAAAAUUAUGAUGGAUAUUUAAUAACCAUAAAUAAACUCAAAAUGUACGUUGCAUGGAAGGAAUAAAACGUACUAAGUAUUCCAUUCACCGACACUAAAAGAUCCACCAUUAUUUUUGAAGGAAACUGUCUUGUAACGUAUCUCUUGGGACGUCGUCUACCAUUUUCUUGAAAGGCUACAAAUAUUGAUAACACGUAUGACCCAUACGAAAUGAAUGUUACAAAACAUGCUCACCGGAAGAAAUAUCGUUCAACGUUCAUAUCACGAUGAAUAUAAAGGGACGUUAACGUCGCCUGAAAAAUCGAACGUUCCUGAAUUCGUUUCUUUCGCAUCGUCUUCGCAUAGAACUCACAAACCUCGAUGUACGUUUUUCCACUAACGUUUUCAGCGGUGGUUCACUAGGAAAAAUUACUCGGACUUAUUCAUCUGGUCGCGUAGUUUUUUUCCAUGUAAAAGAAAGAAAAAAAAAAAAGAAAGAAAGAAAGAAAAAAGAGAAAGGAUGAGAGAGGUUAGGAAGGGAGCGACUGAUAAGCUUAAAUGGAUCCCACUUUAUCAUGGGUAAGAGGGUAGGAAGAGGUCAGAGGUACUCAGGAGGUUUAUCUAGGUAGUACAAGGGCUUACGAUGUCACGCGAUCCAAUUUGACAGUAUAAGUGACAGGAUGGAGCAUUUACUCGAGAUCAAGUAAGCCUAUAUGGAAUGACAUUGGGGAAACAAGAAAGCUGAUGUAAUGCGUAUUAACUAUAUCUUCGUAUCGUGAAACAAUCAUUAUACAACGAAUAAGGGAUGUAUUAAUCAGGGAUUGUUCAAUUACAUGUAUUCCUCUGUUUGUAAGUAAUAUAAUAUUUUUUUCUUUAAUUAGAUACAAAAUGAUACACGAUAACGAAGCAUUAUCAGAGAAACGACAAUAGAAUAUCUAUGUCUGUAUAAAAUGAUGGUUUUGAGAUAUGUAAUAAAAAUUUAAGAAUUUUUAAAAAUUAUUUGAAAAAGUUAUAGGAAAAUUAAUGAUGCAUUAACUAUUAUAAAGCUUUUAAAAAAGUGUUCAGUAAAGAAGUAAAAUUUUCAUUAAAAAUAAAAUCGUAUAAUAAUAAUAAUUAUAGUAAUGAUAAUAUUAAAUAGUAAGAUAAAAAUUUAAGUUUAUCUUGUUUUUUUUUUUUUUUUCAAUACUUAUGAACGGGAGUAUAUAUUCUACUUUUCUUGGCAUACAAAUAUAGCAUUAGUUUAUCUUUCCACGAAGCCAUAGCUGCGGAUUUCAUUUUGAACUUCUAAGUCAAAUGUUUGUAAAGCCCUGCCACAAAAAACAGGGCUUCCAGAUUUAUCUGGAACUUCGAAAAUCAAAUAUUUAUACGAUCGUCCGUAAAAAUAGAAUUUCAACUAACUUUCCAGUUUCUAUUUAGCUUUUAUUUGUUUUACAAUUAUCUAGGUUCUAUUGUACUUUUACAUGGUAUUUUUGUUUCGUGAAAAGAUUAUGUACUCCAUAGUUUAGAAUUUUGUAUAUCGUGUGAAGUUUUUAUCGAAGAGAGAGA